rnacentral:rRNA from 1 species
CAGCAGCCGCGGUAAUACGUAGGUGGCAAGAGUUGUCCGGAAUUAUUGGGCGUAAAGGGCUCGCAGGCGGUUUCUUAAGUCUGAUGUGAAAGCCCCCGGCUCAACCGGGGAUGGUCAUUGGAAACUGGGAAACUUGAGUGCAGAAGAGGAGAGUGGAAUUCCACGUGUAGCGGUGAAAUGCGUAGAGAUGUGGAGGAACACCAGUGGCGAAGGCGACUCUCUGGUCUGUAACUGACGCUGAGGAGCGAAAGCGUGGGGAGCGAACAGGAUUAGAUACCCCUGUAGUCCCUGUCUCUUAUAC